ensembl:lncRNA
GUGCGUCUGUGUGUCUGAGCGUGGGUGUGUGCGUGUGUGUGUGCGUCUGUGUGUCUGAGCCUGGGUGUGUGUGUGUGUGUGUGCGUCUGUGUGUCUGAGCGUGGGUGUGUGUGUGUGUGUGUGCGUCUGUGUGUCUGAGCCUGGGUGUGUGUGUGUGUGUGUGUGUGUGUGUGUGUGUGCGUCUGUGUGUCUGAGCCUGGGUGUGUGUGUGUGUGUGCGUCUGUGUGUCUGAGCCUGGGUGUGUGUGUGUGUGUGUGCGUCUGUGUGUCUGAGCCUGGGUGUGUGUGUGUGUGUGUGUGUGUGUGUGCAUGUUUCAGUGGUAGGGAGUGUUUUGGGCAUUACUCUGGAUGGAGAAACACAGAAGAGAAAGGAAGGAGACAGAGGAUGAUGAAGGGGAACAUGAGGAGGAUGAAGGGUAAUAGGAGGAGGAUGAAGGGGAACAUGAGGAGGAUGAAGGGUAAUAGGAGGAGGAUGAAGGGGAACAUGAGGAGGAUGAAGGGUAAUAGGAGGAGGAUGAAGGGUAACAUGAGGAGGAUAAAGGGUAAUAGGAGGAGGAUGAAGGGGAACAUGAGGAGGAGGAAGGGUAAUAGGAGGAGGAGGAAGGGUAAUAGGAGGAGGAUGAAGGGGAACAUGAGGAGGAGGAAGGUUACAUGAGGAGGAGGAAGGGUAAUAGGAGGAGGAUGAAGGGGAACAUGAGGAGGAGGAAGGUAACAUGAGGAGGAGGAAGUUAACAUGAGGAGGAAGAAGGUAACAUGAGGAGGAGGAAGGGUAAUAGGAGGAGGAGGAAGGGGAACAUGAGGAGGAGGAAGGUAACAUGAGGAGGAUGAAGGGUAAUAGGUGGAGGAUGAAGGGGAACAUGAGGAGGAGGAAGGUAACAUGAGGAGGAGGAAGGGGAAAAGGAGGAGGAUGAAGGGGAACAUGAGGAGGAGGAAGGUAACAUGAGGAGGAUGAAGGGGAA